ensembl:misc_RNA Metazoa_SRP Metazoan signal recognition particle RNA
GCCAGGCGUGGUGGCGCACACCUGUAAUCCCAGCUACUCAGGAGGCUGAGGCAGGAGAAUUGCUUGAACCUGGGAGGCAGAGGUUGCAGUGAGCUGAGAUCACGCCACUGUACUUCAGCCUGGGUGACAGAGUGAGACUCAGUCUCAA